CCCUGACAAAAACUUGAUUUUAUACAAUGAAGUAAGUAAGUAUCUACGUAAUAUCAAGUAAUUGAUUUGAGAUAAAAGAAUAGAAAAACAGAUACAAUUAGCAAGGAAUUAUCAUAAUUGCGUAACUUAACCUAGGUACUUUUUCAGAUACACAAAGACUUUAUAAAUGCCUUAUAAAUGUUUAUGAAGAGAUUUUUUUUAAUUAAUGGAAAUGGAAUAAUCCUAACUUGAGCUAUGGGUAUAAAUCAUAAGCCGUCCUGAACAAUAGCACAAUAAGUCGGUACAGUGAUUUCCGCACCAUCAUUCGACGACGACGAAUCAAUUUGAGGAUACAAGGGCAAUCCCAUGGUGUACAAUUUGAUACAAAGUCCAUGGCACUGAAUCGUACUGGGAACUGGAAUAAUGGUAUUGAAAACGCGCCUACGCGGAAGUGGGUACUUCUUGGGUAAUUUACAAGAUUUCUCGCAUAGAUACCUGUCGGAGAUUAUUAAUGAAUCACCUGGUUACAGACAUAAGCCUCCCCCAUAGACUGCCAUAAGAAAUGAUCCUGAGCCACCUGCAUCCACUGACUCCCUGCAAUGAAUUUGAGGUCAUCAUUCCAUCUACUGGGGAGUCAUCUACAUUGCGUUUGCCCGUACGGGGUAACCACUCAAGAACCUUCCUUCCCCAUCGGUUGUCGGUCAUAAUUAAUAAUUCUUUACAAUUGACAUAAAUUUAUUGAAUUAAUUAUAUAACU